GGGACUGUAAGGUUUCUACAUAUAAUAUAUUAUAUAUUAUGCUAUAAAUAUAGCUUUAUUAAUACUAAUAAUAAAUGCUAAAAAUAACAUAUUACCUUUAUCUAGAAAAUUAGUUUGUGCUUAAAUUGAUAACAUUUAUUUUAUUAAAUGAAAAUCCUAUAACCACAUACUUUUUAUUAGAAUUCAAAUAGUGUAAACCUAUACAUUUAUUUGAUAUAUUAAAAUUGGUUGCUCUUUCGUUAAUAUUAAUCAAGAAAUUAAUAUAUGAAGAUAAGUAAUAAAUUCCUAUAAUAUUAAAUCAUAUCUUUCUUAAGUUAUAUUACUUAUCUAAUAAUUAGUAAUAUAAUGAAAUGAUGUAUAAUAUAUUAUUAUGGACGUGGGUUCAAUUCCCGCCAGUUCCA